CACCGACUGUUGCUAUACGUGUUAGCUCCGAAGAAAGGGAGAGUGGGAGCGAGAGAGCGCGAACAGGUCUUCGAUCUUCAAUCGUCUUUGAUUUUCAUCCAUCACUGCUCAACCCAAUUACCCAAUUGAUCCCUUUCUCAUUUCAAUUAACUACAUGGGAAAACUGAUUAAGGUUACGGCAUUUGCAGAGAAGAGUUUUCAGGCUUGCGAUCAGUGUUGAGGUCCAAAGGACAAGUCUCCUGGCAAAACCAUUUGGGUUCUGCGGACGAAGAGAAAAGGAGAGGAGACG